UACGUAGGGUGCGAGCGUUGUCCGGAAUUAUUGGGCGUAAAGAGCGUGUAGGCGGCCAUGUAGGUCCGGUGUGAAAACUCGAGGCUUAACCUCGAGAUGUCAUCGGAAACCAUUUGGCUAGAGUCCGGAAGAGGAGAGUGGAAUUCCUGGUGUAGCGGUGAAAUGCGCAGAUAUCAGGAAGAACACCAAUGGCGAAAGCAGCUCUCUGGGACGGUACUGACGCUGAGACGCGAAAGCGUGGGGAGCGAACAGG
rnacentral:rRNA from 1 species